CGGUAAUUCCAGCUCCAAUAGCGUAUACUAAAGUUGUUGCAGUUAAAAAGCUCGUAGUUGGAUUUCUGCGGGGACGGAGCGGCCGGACGCAACUUGCGUCUCGAGCUAGCGCUUUCCCCGCAUCCUGCCGCGAACCGUGCUACCAUUAGUUUGGUGGCGCUGGGGAUCGGCUCGAUUACUUUGAGAAAAAUAGAGUGUUCAAAGCAGGCCACACGCCUUGAAUAAGUUAGCAUGGAAUAAUGACUAAGGACUUUGGUUCUUUUCGUUGGUGUUCGGGACUGAAGUAAUGAUUGAUAGGGACAGUUGGGGCGGUCCGUAUUCCAAAGCGAGAGGUGAAAUUCUUAGACCUUCGGAAGACGAACAGCUGCGAAAGCGUUCCGCAAGGAUGUUCCCUUUGAUCAAGAACGAAAGUUGGGGGAUCGAAGACGAUCAGAUACCGUCGUAGUCUCAACUAUAAACUAUACCAGCUAGGGAUCGGCCAACGUUUAAUUAUUCGACUUGGUCGGCACCUUAUGAGAAAUCAAAGCAUCUGGGUUCCGGGGGGAGUAUGGUCGCAAGGCUGAAACUUAAAGGAAUUGACGGAGGGGCACCACCAGGCGUGGAGCCUGUGGCUUAAUUUGACUCAACACGGGAAAACUUACCAGGUCCAGACAUAGGAAGGAUUGACAGAUUGAUAGCUCUUUCUUGAUUCUGUGGGUGGUGGUGCAUGGCCGUUUUUAGUCGGUGAAGUGAUUUGUCUGCUUAAUUGCGUUAACGGACGAGACCCCAGCCUGCUAAAUAGCGCGGCCGAGCUUUGCUCGGUACGAGCUUCUUAGAGGGACCAUGAUGCGCGAUAGCACAAGGAAGUUUGGGGCAACAACAGGUCUGUGAUGCCCUUAGAUGUUCUGGGCCGCACACGGGCUACACUGGCGCCUGCAACGAGCAUAUCAGCUGGCCCGAGAGGGUCUUGGCUAAUCUUUGGAACCGGCGCCGUGCUUGGGAUUGACCAUUGCAAUUGUUGGUCAUGCAACGAGGAAUGCCUUGUAAACGCGAGUCAUCAGCUCGCAUUGAAUACGUCCCUGCCCCUUGUACACAGCGCCC
rnacentral:rRNA from 1 species